rnacentral:rRNA from 1 species
AGUGAACGCUGGCGGCAGGCCUAACACAUGCAAGUCGAACGGCAGCACAGUAAGAGCUUGCUCCUACGGGUGGCGAGUGGCGGACGGGUGAGGAAUACAUAGGAUUCUACUUUUUCGUGGGGGACAACGUAGGGAAACUUCCGCUACUACCGCAUACGACCUACGGGUGAAAGCAGGGGAUCUUCGGACCUUGCGCGAUUGUAUGAGCCGAUGUCGGAUUAGGUAGUUGGCGGGGUAAAGGCCCACCAAGGCAACGAUCCGUAGCUGGUCUGAGAGGAUGAUCGGCCACACUGGGACUGAGACACGGUCCAGACUCCUACGGGAGGCAGCAGUAGGGAAUAUUGGACAAUGGGCGAAAGCCUGAUGGAGCAAUGCCGCGUGAGUGAUGAAGGUCUUCGGGUCGUAAAACGCUGUUAUUAGGAAAGAAAAGAAGUGUAAUAAAAUAGGGACGUCAUGACGGUACCUAAAGAGUAAGCAACGGCUAACUACGUG